rnacentral:rRNA from 1 species
UACGGGGGGGGCAAGCGUGGUUCGGAAUUACUGGGCGUAAAGGGCUUGUAGGUGGCCAACUAAGUCAGACGUGAAAUCCCUCGGCUUAACCGGGGAACUGCGUCUGAUACUGGAUGGCUAGAGAUUGGGAGAGGGAUGCGGAAUUCCAGGUGUAGCGGUGAAAUGCGUAGAUAUCUGGAGGAACACCGGUGGCGAAGGCGGCAUCCUGGACCAACACUGACACUGAAAAGCGAAAGCCAGGGGAGCAAACGGG